UUGGUCAAGCAAGUAAGAGCAUUCGGUGGAUGCCUUGGCACUAGAAGGCGAUGAAGGACGUGGUUAGCUGCGAUAAGCUUCGGUGAGCUGCCAGCAAGCUUUGAACCGGAGAUUUCCGAAUGGGGGAACCUGAUGCGGGUAAUACUGUAUCAUCCCUGCCUGAAUAAAAUAGGGUAGGGAAGCAAACCUAGAAAACUGAAACAUCUUAGUAACUAGAGGAAAAGAAAGCAAGCGCGAUUUCCUGAGUAGUGGCGAGCGAAAUGGAAAGAUUGCCCAAACCGUAUGUGUGUUAAAGGUGAUACCCGUUGCACAUGCGGGGUUGCGGGAGUCAAACUGGCUGUUGUAUCAAACAGCCGGGAAGUCAAAAAAUUGUUGUUUAGUUGAACAGUCUGGAAAGGCUGGCCGUAGAAGGUGAUAGCCCUGUAAGCGAAAAACAGCAGUCUUCCUGUUUGAUUUCCCAAGUAGUGCGGGACACGUGAAACCCCGUACUAAUCUGGGAGGACCACCUUCCAAGGCUAAAUACUAACUAGUGACCGAUAGUGGACAAGUACCGUGAGGGAAAGGUGAAAAGAACCCCUUAUAGGGGAGUGAAAUAGUACCUGAAACCGAAUGCUUACAAGCGGUGGGAGCACUAUGGGCAAUCUUCGGGUUGUCAACGUGUGACCGCGUGCCUUUUGCAUAAUGAACCGGCGACUUACUCUAUGUGGCGAAGGUUAAGUUCUUCUGGAACGAAGCCGUAGCGAAAGCGAGUAUUAACUGUGCGUAAGUUGCAUGGAGUAGACCCGAAACUGAGUGAUCUAGUCAUGGCCAGCGCGAAGCGAUAGUAAAAUAUCGUGGAGGUGCGAACUUAUGGAUGUUGAAAAAUCCCGGGAUGAGCUGUGACUAGGAGUGAAAGGCUAAUCAAACUCAGAGAUAGCUGGUUCUCUCCGAAAUAGCUUUAGGGCUAGCGUCUUGUAAAUGGACAAUAGGGGUAGAGCACUGAAUGGGCUAGGGGGCUUACCAGCUUACCGAAACCAAUCAAACUCCGAAUACUAUUGCUCCUUAUCAAGGCAGUCAGACAGUGGGGGAUAAGCUUCAUUGUCGAAAGGGAAACAGCCCAGACCGUCGGCUAAGGCCCCAAAGUGUAUGCUAAGUGGGAAAGGUUGUGGAAUUGCAUUGACAGCUAGGAUGUUGGCUUAGAGGCAGCCAUCAUUUAAAGAGUGCGUAAUAGCUCACUAGUCGAGUGAUUCUGCGCCGAUAAUGAUCGGGACUAAGCAUAUCGCCGAAGCCACGGAAUUGAUUUUACUUCGGUAAAAUCAUUUGGUAGGAGAGCGUUCUAUACUGGUUGAAGCGCAAUCGAAAGGAUGCGUGGACGGUAUAGAAGUGUUUAUGCCGGUAUGAGUAACGAUAAACAAGGUGAGAAUCCUUGUCGCCGAAAACCUAAGGUUUCCUGGGGAAGGUUCGUCCGCCCAGGGUUAGUCGAGACCUAAGCCGAGGCCGAAUGGCGUAGGCGAUGGAAAACAGGCUAAUAUUCCUGUACCGCCGGAAUAGUGUUUGAGCGAUGGAGUGACGCAGCAGGCUAAAUGAGCGUACGAUUGGAAGUGUACGUCGAAGCUUGUAGGAGGGCGGCUUUGGUAAAUCCGGGCUGCUGUUAACUCUGAGGAGUGAUAGGACGUGAAUCCUUCGGGUGAAGCGGAUUCAUUGACGCCACACUGCCAAGAAAAACUUCUAAGCGAAUUAUUCAGGCGCUCGUACCGUAAACCGACACAGGUAGGUGGGAUGAGAAUUCUAAGGCGCGCGAGAUAACUUCCGUUAAGGAACUCGGCAAAUUAGCCCCGUAACUUCGGGAAAAGGGGUGCCUUUUGUUGUGAUGAAAUUUACUUUCUGAGCAAUGAAAGGUCGCAGAGAAAUGGCCCAGGCGACUGUUUACUAAAAACACAGGACUCUGCUAAAUCGUAAGAUGACGUAUAGGGUCUGACGCCUGCCCGGUGCUGAAAGGUUAAGGGAAAGGGUUAACUUUCGGGUGAAGCUCUGAACCGAAGCCCCAGUAAACGGCGGCCGUAACUAUAACGGUCCUAAGGUAGCGAAAUUCCUUGUCGGGUAAGUUCCGACCUGCACGAAUGGUGUAACGAUCUGGGCACUGUCUCAACGGAAGACUCGGUGAAAUUGUAAUAGCGGUGAAGAUACCGCUUACCCGUAUCUAGACGGAAAGACCCCGUGAACCUUUACUAUACCCUGAUAUUGACUUCUGGUCCAGUAUGUGUAGGAUAGGUGGGAGGCUUUGAAGCUGGCUCGUUAGGGUCGGUGGAGCCAUUGGUGAAAUACCACUCUUAUUGUAUUGGAAUUCUAACCUAGGUCUGUGAAUCCAGGCCGGGAACAGUGUCAGGCGGGUAGUUUGACUGGGGCGGUUUCCUCCUAAACUGUAACGGAGGAGCACAAAGGUUCCCUCAAUACGGUUGGCAAUCGUAUGUAGAGCGUAAAGGUAAAAGGGAGCUUAACUGCGAGACACACAGGUCGAGCAGAUGCGAAAGCAGGUCUUAAUGAUCCGGCGGUUGAAUGUGGAAUUGCCGUCGCUCAUCGGAUAAAAGGUACUCCGGGGAUAACAGGCUUAUCACCCCCAAGAGUUCACAUCGACGGGGUGGUUUGGCACCUCGAUGUCGGCUCGUCGCAUCCUGGGGCUGGAGAAGGUCCCAAGGGUUUGGCUGUUCGCCAAUUAAAGCGGCACGUGAGCUGGGUUUAGAACGUCGUGAGACAGUUCGGUCCCUAUCUGGUAUGGGCGUUGGAUAUUUGAGAAGAUUAAUCCCUAGUACGAGAGGACCGGGAUUGACGAACCAAUGGUGUUCCAGUUGUCGCGCCAGCGGCAUAGCUGGGUAGCUAUGUUCGGAAAGGAUAAGCGCUGAAAGCAUCUAAGCGCUAAGCCUCCUUCAAGAUUAGAUAUCCCAAUUAGACUCCUUAUAGACUAUGAGGUUGAUAGGCCGGAGGUGCAAGCACAGUAAUGUGUUCAGCUUUACCGGUACUAAUAAGUCGAUUGGCUUGACCAUUUUUUCUU
rnacentral:rRNA from 1 species